rnacentral:rRNA from 1 species
AACGAACGCUGGCGGCAGGCCUAAUACAUGCAAGUCGAGCGCAUCCUUCGGGAUGAGCGGCGGACGGGUGAGUAACGCGUGGGAAUGUGCCUCAAGGUAGGGAAUAGCCUCUGGAAACGGGGAGUAAUACCCUAUGUGCCCUUCGGGGGAAAGAUUUAUCGCCUUGAGAUCAGCCCGCGUUGGAUUAGUUUGUUGGUGGGGUAAUGGCCUACCAAGACUACGAUCCAUAGCUGGUUUGAGAGGAUGAUCAGCCACACUGGGACUGAGACACGGCCCAG